GCUGGGGGUAAAUCUCAAUGGUGGAGUGCUUGCCUAGCAUGCACAAGGUCCUGAGUUCAAUUCCCAGUGCAGCA
rnacentral:tRNA from 1 species